rnacentral:rRNA from 1 species
CGUAGGAGGCGAGCGUUAUCCGGAUUCACUGGGCGUAAAGCGCGUGCAGGUGGCGCGGUAAGUUAGGCGUGAAAUCUCCCGGCUCAACUGGGAGAGGUCGUCUAAUACUACCGUGCUUGAGAGCAGAAGAGGAAGAUGGAAUUCCCGGUGUAGUGGUGAAAUGCGUAGAUAUCGGGAGGAACACCAGUGGCGAAGGCGAUCUUCUGGUCUGUUUCUGACACUCAGACGCGACAGCUAGGGUAGUAAACGGGAUUAGAGACCCCGGUAAUCCUAGCCGUAAACGGUGUGAACUUGGCGUUGGUGGGUUAAACUCCAUCAGUGCCGUAGCAAACGCGAUAAGUUCACCGCCUGGGGACUACGGCCGCAAGGUUA